rnacentral:rRNA from 2 species
ACCUUCUUCGGACAGAGGAGACAGGUGGUUGCAUGGUUGUCGUCAGCUCGUGUCGUGAGAUGUUGGUAAGUCCCGCAACGAGCGCAACCCUUUGUCUUUAGUUGCCAUCAUUCAGUUGGGCACUCUAGAGAGACUGCCGAGGACAACUCGGAGGAAGGUGGGAUGACGUCAAAUCAUCAUGCCCCUUAUGUCCUGGGCUACACACGUGCUACAAUGGCUGGUACAAAGAGACGCAAGACCGCGAGGUGGAGCAAAUCUCAAAAGCCAGUCCCAGUUCGGAUUGUAGGCUGCAACUCGCCUGCAUGAAGUCGGAGUUGCUAGUAAUCGCGGAUCAGCAUGCCGCGGUGAACACGUUCCCGGGCCUU